GAAGAAGAAGAAGAAGAAGAAGCAGCAUCAGAUAGUCGGAGCCGUGGUGGACCAGGGCCUCAUCACUGUGCAUCACCUGAAGAAGAGAAGGUUGAGUCCAAGAGCAAACAUCACUCUGUCUGGAAAGAAGAAGGAAGAAGAGCUCAAACAGCUGCAGCAGCUGCAGCAGGAGAAGGCCAGUAUGGAAGUGUCCUCAGUUGAGCCGGCAGCUCCACCGUUGAAGACACUGGACUUUGCCUCAGCUCUGAGCAAGAAGAAGAAAGGAGCUGGAUCCCAGCAGGAUGUAGAGAUGGCAGAUGUAGAGUGAAGAGGCGACAGAGUGAUCUGCUGUUUCUCUGACACGCAGGGAAACAUCCUGUCUACCAGUCGGACAGACGGCAGGGACACAGGUCAUCACGAAUGCAGGUCUCAGACACGAGUGAGUGGUGGAAGUAAAGUCUGCUACAGUUUGUGCUCAGAGGGAUGAAAACACUGGGUGAGAUUUUGUUGAGAAAACAUACAGGAAGCACAUUUAAGCCAAAAAAAUUAAAUGUUAGGAAAGAUAAAAAUACUUAGUGUAGGUCAGAAUGUUUGCUUAAAGUUCUGUGGUGCUGAGUAAAAUUUAUGCAACGGUGAAUUAAAAUGUCGUUUUAUAAUUCUGACUAAUUAUGUGCAUGCUGCUUCACAGUUUUUGACUUAAAAGAAAAUUAUUUUCACAUACUUUAAGGUUUUCCAGUAUUUAAUCUUAGUAAAUGUGAUAGUUUUGACAUUUCUGACCAGGACCAUGACAUAAUUUGUUAAAAUGUCAAGAGAUGCUAAGUCAAGAUUAUGACUCAUUAACUGGUACUUUUGACAUGAGAAGAAAACAAAGUGUAAUUUUUGCAUCAUAAUUACAACUAAAGGCCUUUUCAUUUUGAUAAAUCAUAGGUUCAUGGCCAGUAGCAUUAAAUUUUCUUUUGUUUGUUGGUUCAUUCUGACCAAGUAUACACACAUUUAAAUUCCAAAGCAUCAGUGGUAUCGUAAAGAGUCCGUAUUUUGAUAUUGGUGUUAUCGGCUUUAUUGUUGGCUCACCACCAUUUUUAAGAAAGACUGUCAUUUCUAUUGUCUGGUGUCCAUUCAUACACAUUUUGUUUGAUAUGUACUUAUAAAUCAAAAUAUGCGGUGAGAUAUUG